rnacentral:rRNA from 1 species
UACGUAGGGUGCAAGCGUUGUCCGGAAUUAUUGGGCGUAAAGAGCGUGUCGGCGGUCCGGUAAGUCCGCUGUGAAAGUCGGGGGCUCAACCCUCGAAUGCCGGUGGAUACUGUCGGGCUAGAGUGCGGAAGAGGCGAGUGGAAUUCCUGGUGUAGCGGUGAAAUGCGCAGAUAUCAGGAGGAACACCUAUUGCGAAGGCAGCUCGCUGGGACGUAACUGACGCUGAGACGCGAAAGCGUGGGGAGCAAACAGG